AACACCCAGAUUCAUGUAGGUCACACUUGCUGUUUGUGCCAGUGAAAUUAACCUCAGGAGGAGAGAUGAAUGCAGUGCAUUUCGUCUGCCUGUAGAUGGCACUAUUACUGCAGUAUAUCAGUCCUGUAUGAGCGUUUCAGAUCAAUUUCUUGCAAGAUCUUUUACUAAACUGAAUUAAAUAAUCUGGUUUAGGUAAUGGAUUUUGCAUGGGGCUCCUGAAGUAUGUGUGUUUACCUGUGCCUGAUGCCUAUCACACCUUUUACAGUCUCAUUAAAAUUAAUCUCUGCUGAUUUUACAGACUGAUUAUACCGUACAUGUACUGGAAUAGGCCAAGCCUCAGGCCUUAGCAACAGUUAGCAGAUAACUAGUAGAUAACUAGUUAACUAACUAGCUUACUGCUGGUAGCUUUAGUGCACUUCCAAUGCAGUCACAGAUGUUUCAGUUCAGUCAUGCACAUGCAGCUGGAAGCAUGUUUUUAUUCGUUAUUGCUUUUUUAUAUCUCAUGAAUAUAAUGGUCAUUUUGCUAGAUACAGAUGUACUGACAUAUAUCUAUAUUUUGAAAACAGAAACAAUGACUGUUAUUUUGACAUCUAUGAAUGGAAGAAAGGUCUCUGCUAAAUUGAUACAUGUGCUUAUUUAUGCGCAUGCGUGCACAUGAAAGUGUGUGUGUGUGUGUGUGUGUGUGUGUGUGUGUGUGUGUGAUUAUAUCUGUCUGCAAGGGCAUGUGUAUUCAGGAAUACUUAAAAAUGCAAAGUUUGACUUCAUUACUCCAUUUAUGUCAGAAUGAUUAAUAUCUGGAAUCAUUUUUGUAAACAUAAUUGUUAUGUUUAUUUUAUAAGCGUAAUAUGCAAACAUAAGCAUAGUUACAAAUGAUUCUGAUGAAGAGCAGCCGUUCUCAUUGAUAUUGAUAUUUAAAUCUUCAUUUAUCUCAAUUUCAAUGACACAGUGGGGCGUGAGAAAUGAGAAUUACCCAGUCUUUUUUAAAAGGCACUACUGGUCCAGUCCAUACACAAAGCAAACGACUGUGUUCAUUUUCUUCAACCGUUUUUGUCUGAUAAAAUCUAAAAUGUGCAUGACUUUUAGGAAAAAAGGGGAAGUGAGUCAGUUCUGCAACAGCGCAUUCUACUUUUAUAUUUAGUGUGAAGCACUUCCUUUGCAGUCACAUUCAGCCACACUGCUCUGUCUGUAAGGCUGUUUAAUACUAAUGGCUCAUUAGCAAAGCACUGAGGCCAAAUCAGAACUCUCCUGGUGUUCUGAGCCAGAGGGGAUGGGGAGUGACUUACACCCCUGAGAGAAUCUGUGCCUUAAAGGGGUCUUCAGUAGACAUGAGCUGCACUUACUCAUAUCCCACAUCUCACACAGUGCAGAAAACUUUCUGGUUUAUUCACUAGAACAAGCCACAGGAGCCUGAGGAUCUGUCCCAGUACCCAGAGUACUCUCACCGUGUGGAGUACCUGGGGAAUAAGCACGGUGACUGCACUUUUAGAAUAAAGCAACUGAGAGAAAGUGAUUCAGCAAUAUAUCGCUUCAAGUUCCUCACCGACCGUUAUGGUGGAAAAUGUACUGGUCAUCCUGGAGUCUCAUUGACAGUUACAGGUCUUCAGGUGAAAGUGACAGAGAAUGAGGC